rnacentral:rRNA from 1 species
AUACGAAGGGGGCAAGCGUUGUUCGGAAUAACUGGGCGUAAAGCGCACGUAGGCGGAAUGUUAAGUUAGAGGUGAAAUCCCAGGGCUCAACCCUGGAACGGCCUUUAAUACUGGCAAUCUAGAGACCGAGAGAGGUGAGUGGAAUUCCGAGUGUAGAGGUGAAAUUCGUAGAUAUUCGGAGGAACACCAGUGGCGAAGGCGGCUUACUGGCUCGGUACUGACGCUGAGGUGCGAAAGCGUGGGGAGCAAACAGGAUUAGAUACCCUAGUAGUCC